rnacentral:rRNA from 1 species
AGAGCGAACGCUGGCGGCGUGCUUAACACAUGCAAGUCGAGUGCGCAGCUUUCUGUAGCAAUACAGGGAGUGGGCGCACGGCGCACGGGUGCGUAACACGUGGGCAACAUGCCCUUGGAUGGGGAAUAACCCCGCGAAAGCGGGGCUAAUACCGCAUAACAUUCCUGGAACCUUGGUUUCGGGACUCAAAGCCGUAAGGCGUCCGAGGAGUGGCCCGCGCACGAUUAGCUAGUUGGCGAGGUAACGGCUCACCAAGGCGAUGAUCGUUAGCCGGUCUGAGAGGAUGGCCGGCCACACUGGAACUGAGACACGGUCCAGACUCCUACGGGAGGCAGCAGUGGGGAAUAUUGCGCAAUGGGCGAAAGCCUGACGCAGCGACGCCGCGUGGGGGAUGAAGCUUCUCGGAGUGUAAACCCCUUUCGACCCGGACGAAUGCCCCGCAAGGGGAGUGACGGUACGGGUAUAAGAAGCCCCGGCUAACUACGUGCCAGCAGCCGCGGUAAUACGUAGGGGGCCAGCGUUGCUCGGAAUAACUGGGCGUAAAGGGUUCGUAGGCGGUGCGGAAAGUUGGGAGUGAAAUCCCUGGGCUUAACUCAGGGACUGCUUUCAAAACUUCCGUGCUCGAGUGCGAGAGAGGCAAGUGGAAUUGCAGGUGUAGCGGUGAAAUGCGUAGAUAUCUGCAGGAACACCCGUGGCGAAGGCGGCUUGCUGGAUCGCAACUGACGCUGAGGAACGAAAGCUAGGGGAGCAAACAGGAUUAGAUACCCUGGUAGUCCUAGCCCUAAACGAUCAGAACUUGGGGUGCAUCCCGUUGGGGGUGCGUCUCGUAGCUAACGCGUUAAGUUCUGCGCCUGGGGAGUACGGUCGCAAGACUG